GAACGCUGGCGGCAUGCCUUACACAUGCAAGUCGAGCGGUAGAGAGGUGCUUGCAUCUCUUGAGAGCGGCGGACGGGUGAGUAAUGCCUAGGAAUCUGCCUAGUGGUGGGGGAUAACGUUCGGAAACGGACGCUAAUACCGCAUACGUCCUACGGGAGAAAGCGGGGGAUCUUCGGACCUCGCGCCAUUAGAUGAGCCUAGGUCGGAUUAGCUAGUUGGUGAGGUAAUGGCUCACCAAGGCGACGAUCCGUAACUGGUCUGAGAGGAUGAUCAGUCACACUGGAACUGAGACACGGUCCAGACUCCUACGGGAGGCAGCAGUGGGGAAUAUUGGACAAUGGGCGAAAGCCUGAUCCAGCCAUGCCGCGUGUGUGAAGAAGGUCUUCGGAUUGUAAAGCACUUUAAGUUGGGAGGAAGGGUAGUAACCUAAUACGUUGCUACUUUGACGUUACCGACAGAAUAAGCGCCGGCUAACUUCGUG
rnacentral:rRNA from 1 species